rnacentral:rRNA from 1 species
UACGAAGGGGGCUAGCGUUGCUCGGAAUUACUGGGCGUAAAGCGCGCGUAGGCGGCUUUGAAAGUCGGGUGUGAAAUCCCCAGGCUUAACCUGGGAACUGCAUUCGAGACUGCAUUGCUAGAGUAUGGGAGAGGGAAGUGGAAUUUCCGGUGUAGCGGUGAAAUGCGUAGAUAUCGGAAGGAACAUCAGUGGCGAAAGCGACUUCCUGGACCAAUACUGACGCUCAUGUGCGAAAGCGUGGGGAGCAAACAGG